rnacentral:rRNA from 1 species
CUACCUGCAGUCGAGCGGAUGAAGGGAGCUUGCUCCUGGAUUCAGCGGCGGACGGGUGAGUAAUGCCUAGGAAUCUGCCUGGUAGUGGGGGAUAACGUCCGGAAACGGGCGCUAAUACCGCAUACGUCCUGAGGGAGAAAGUGGGGGAUCUUCGGACCUCACGCUAUCAGAUGAGCCUAGGUCGGAUUAGCUAGUUGGUGGGGUAAAGGCCUACCAAGGCGACGAUCCGUAACUGGUCUGAGAGGAUGAUCAGUCACACUGGAACUGAGACACGGUCCAGACUCCUACGGGAGGCAGCAGUGGGGAAUAUUGGACAAUGGGCGAAAGCCUGAUCCAGCCAUGCCGCGUGUGUGAAGAAGGUCUUCGGAUUGUAAAGCACUUUAAGUUGGGAGGAAGGGCAGUAAGUUAAUACCUUGCUGUUUUGACGUUACCAACAGAAUAAGCACCGGCUAACUUCGUGCCAGCAGCCGCGGUAAUACGAAGGGUGCAAGCGUUAAUCGGAAUUACUGGGCGUAAAGCGCGCGUAGGUGGUUCAGCAAGUUGGAUGUGAAAUCCCCGGGCUCAACCUGGGAACUGCAUCCAAAACUACUGAGCUAGAGUACGGUAGAGGGUGGUGGAAUUUCCUGUGUAGCGGUGAAAUGCGUAGAUAUAGGAAGGAACACCAGUGGCGAAGGCGACCACCUGGACUGAUACUGACACUGAGGUGCGAAAGCGUGGGGAGCAAACAGGAUUAGAUACCCUGGUAGUCCACGCCGUAAACGAUGUCGACUAGCCGUUGGGAUCCUUGAGAUCUUAGUGGCGCAGCUAACGCGAUAAGUCGACCGCCUGGGGAGUACGGCCGCAAGGUUAAAACUCAAAUGAAUUGACGGGGGCCCGCACAAGCGGUGGAGCAUGUGGGUUAAUUCGAAGCAACGCGAA